UCCCCUUUCUCUUUGCAGGCCCAUCUCCAAAGGGAAUGCUGCUGUUGACUUAUUUUCUACAAUCAAAACAGAAAAAGGAGUAGGAGGGAAAAGUCUACACUCUGGGUUUUGCUCUGCAGUGUUCGUUUCUCUGAUACAGCAUCUGCACUACGAAAUUCACCCCGAAUGGACACUCAGAUGUUUUUACUUCCAGCAGAGAGGACACAACUCUCAAGCUGAAUUAGGCCAUUUGGAGAGGUUUACCAAAAUCUCCAUGGGUUACAGACGCAAGACUUUUCUCUCAAACUGGUCUGGACUGAGCACUUAGUGUGCAGUAACAUGCGAACUCUGACCACAUCACCGGUGUGAAAUUGCUGAUUAACCUUUUGACUCUGACAAUUGGGACUUCUCUCAACACCAACUGGUAAUGCAGAAGACCAUUAGUAGUUAAUAUUGGGACAUCCCAGCUCCAGAUGUCAAAAGGUUAAUGAAAAAUCAAGUAUCUUGCUUUUGCUGGGGAACUUGGAAACCUUCCCCCCAAAGCAGUUAAUUUUUUCUGAUAAAUAAGCCAGACUGCUUGAGCUGAGAAAGACGGGUGUUUUGCUAAUGUGUACAGCUGUUAAUUGAAAAAGAUUUGGGUAUGCUUGUUCUUUUGGAUGUAGAUAAAAGAGAGAUUUGUUGGCGAACUUAGUUAGUCUUGAACACCCCUUUGUUCAAAUACACUACAUAAUAAUAACGCUUUGUUCUUUCUGUAACAGCCAUGGAGGGAUUUUGAGUAGAAUACUCAUUUUCUUUAAGUCAUAUCUGCCAGUAAUCAUUCCUGGCUUAAGACCAGCUGCCAUUUAUGUGUUUUAUGAAAAUAUAACAGUUUUACACUCAAAACUAUUUUCUUUUUAGGUAAAAGCUUCAGCACAAGCUGGUUCCCUGUAUCUACCAUAAAUGCUAUUUAUCGCAGAUUUUGGUCUUUAAAACAGAAAGAUAAUGUUAAAACAUUUUGAUUACCCUUUCCUUGCUAUCAUUCACAACCCAUCUUUUCUAAUUAUGGUAUUAGGACAUUUACAUAACCGGGAAAAGGGUCCUUUAACUACAUUUCUAUUAUGUUUGGCACUUCUGUGAAAGGAUAUUAUAUUCAUGUGCAUUAGAGAUUGCUUAUAAAAGAUCAAGACAAUAAUAGCAGAUCAGACGAUAAAGGUUCCCUUUUCUCCUCCCAGACAGGCUGUCUCUGACAGAAGAAUACAGUUCAUCAAAAGUGUCUGCAGGUUGUCAAACUCAGUGAGAUUUGGGGACACUCGGAGGCUGUCAUGGCCAACAAGAAGAUUUUCUGUAGGGUUCUGCCAUCAUUCACCCUCAGGAAAUAAUCACUCACUACAUUCUGCAUGCUCUCAUGAUAGAGCUCUAUUUGAGAGAAAAGAGCCAUUUUAUCAAAGGACAAUAUAUCCCUUCUCUUGGUCCAUGUAGCUUCCAUUAUCAGACCAUAAUAAAUCAUAUUUAUGUUCUCAGUUAAUAAGACUGAUUACAAUGCAGGUUACAGGCAUGGGAAAAGAAAAUCAGGUGAAAAGAUGUUUUAAUGAAAAUAUGAUAAGCAAACAGCUUCUUGUGAACAUUUCAGGCUGUUAUUUGUAAUGAUCACAGGCAAUUUUUGAUACAUCUUCUUUAGCAAUGGUUUAAGCUGCAUAAAUUGGCUUGCCACUUUAUACGUUGAAAUAGGAAGAAUCCCGGUGUCCUUCUUAUGUUGUCUAGAAUCAUUAUAUACAUUAUAAGCAUAAAAUGAGUUUAAUGUAUGUGCUUUGAAAAGAAGGGGAAAACAGAAAAUCAGGGAAGACUGAUUUUAAUGCUGCUCAGAAUGAUUUUGAAAUUUUCUACUCAUCUUUGUUACUAACGGUGCAUUUUCCAUGAAAUUUAGGAAUGACAUGUACUGCUUUCAUCUCCUUAAAAUUAAUAUACUGUGCUCUCUGUUUUUCUCAAUUUCUUCAAAGUUCUUCUUAGAGCACUGCGCAAAGAGACAGAGAGAAAUUCUCCACUCGAAGCAUAUCUGCUGUUAAUGCUGAGGGGAGUUAAGUAUCUGCUUCUAUAGGAGAAUAUACCCCAGUGUUCCUGAAGGGCACCCUGUUAAUAUGGUGCAAGAAUGUCUAACUCUGGCACAUGUAAUGCAUUCAAGGGCCAACUUCCACUGAAUUUUUUUAAGUGAUUAAGGCAGU
ensembl:lncRNA